AUGGUGCGAAAUACAACCACUCUCUCACCAACCUCCGGCGUCUUGCGCUGCAGCAGCAGUAGCGUGCCCCAAAAUGCUCCGGGGCAGGGGAAAAACCCAAGGCAGCAAACAUCUAAAAACAGGAAUGUGCAUUACAAUAACCCAAAUGAUAUCAACUGCCCUAGAAACAAACAAAUGACUUGACUUUUAAAUACAAGGUUAUCUGUGCAUAUGAGAAACAUUUACACAAAAUUCAUAGGUUAAUGUAUGUCUUGUCAUCAGAAAUAAUUGUAGGGAGUAAUCAUUUAAUGAAUCAUAGCAUACAUUCUUGCUUAAACAAAAACAAUUAUGUUAGCGAGAAACAAAGUGUACUGGUUGGGAUACUGUGGAAGCUAGGCGGUUCAAAAAUAUAAAUAAAUCACACUUACAUUUGCCAUACAAAAACAAAUAUUUUGAACAGGUAGAAUGAAAGCGGCUUAGCAGUCUUGAGCACAGAAGACAUGCUGGGUUUAUAUUUGCACUUGGUGAGAGAUGCAACAUCAAAUUUCAAAACAACAUUUACCAUAUUAGCAGUGAAUACAUAAAAUUGGGAGAGCAUCCUUGUGAAUAUUACACUAACAAUCCUUAUUCAACAAAUAUACUUAAAUACCCAUGUACAUGAGGAUACAUACAUAAGAUUAAAUCAAACUCAUAAUAUCCCAGCUCUCUAAAAUAUAGGAUGUCUAAUGUAGGAAUAAUAACUCAUUUAUCAGCAUGUGUCUCAAAACCGAAAUUAGAUAGCCGCACCUUCCUGAACAAAAAAAAAAACAACGACACAGAAGAAUAACAUGAUUGAAUAAGAAAUGAGAUACCAUACGAGGAAUAUAGUUAGAAAUUACAACUUUUUUCCAACAAUAACACAUUACAUUUCAAUGUCUCAAAAUUAAAAAAAUUCUACGUAAAAAACAAAAAGCAAACACAUGCUUAAAACAUUAUUGUUCACAAAAACACACCUGUCAUUAUACCCAAUCCUCAAGACUGCUAAGCCAAUACCAUUUUAUUGCAAAAACUAGACAAAAUAGAUUAUACUACAUCUUGAUCAAAGACAAGGCGAUACAUUAAAAAAAGUAUACUUAAGUAUCCCAAAAUUGCCAAGUAAAAUAUCAGUUUUUAGGUUUAGUUAUUCUACAGCGAAUGCAUUACAAAAAGGAAAGGUACGCCGCAAAGUGUUGAAAAUAUACUUUAGAAACCUCAAUAGUACUGUUAAUAGCUCUCUUUUCGUCUCAAUGAUUCCAAAGUCU
rnacentral:lncRNA from 1 species